rnacentral:pre_miRNA from 1 species
AAAACAUUCGGACUGCCGAGCUACCGAGAAAUAUCACUCGUUCAGUAGAAGAUCUUACCUUUGUCAU